GCCGAGAUGGUGGAAUAGGUAGACACAAGGGACUUAAAAUCCCUCGGCAAGUCAAACGGCCGUGCCGGUUCGAUUCCGGUUCUCGGCA
rnacentral:tRNA from 1 species